rnacentral:lncRNA from 1 species
GCACUUGCACCUAUACAAUCAUGUUUAUAUACAUUCUGGACUUCACUGAUGUCAACGUAUUCAUCAAUAUUAUCCCCGAAGACUUCCUUGGGAAUUGAUAUAAUUAUUAUACAAUCUCUCAUCUUCUGUAUAUGCCCCAGCAGCUGAGUACAAUAGUUGAUAGUCUUCUUAGAGCUCACAUCCUCAGUAGAUGACUUUGAGCUUACAUCCCCCGAAUAUGGCUUAGUCUUUUGGGUGCUACUAGGGGUGGAAUGUACAUUUUCUUGAAAUACUCAAUAAAAAACAUAUCAAUUAUAGAUUAAUAAGUGAGCAUAAGGUAAAAAAUCAUGCCUUAGAAGGAAUUACUUGAACAAGGUCUACUGGUCAAGCCACAAAAGUGCAUAUAGCCCCUCCAACUGUGAAGAUAUCCUCGUCGAGGGGAAUUGGC